rnacentral:rRNA from 1 species
ACAAUGGAAGUAGAGGAAAGUGGCGGACGGGUGAGUAACGCGUGAGGAACCUGCCUUGAAGAGGGGGACAACAGUUGGAAACGACUGCUAAUACCGCAUGACGCAUAGGGGUCGCAUGAUCUUUAUGCCAAAGAUUUAUCGCUUCAAGAUGGCCUCGCGUCUGAUUAGCUAGUUGGUGAGGUAACGGCCCACCAAGGCGACGAUCAGUAGCCGGACUGAGAGGGUGAUCGGCCACACUGGAACUGAGACACGGUCCAGACUCC